AUUUAAAAGAAAAGGAGGUUAUAAAAGUCAUUCAUUUGUAUUUAUGUGCAUAAUACUAAAACAUCUGUCAGGUAAGUCACUGGAGACUUUAAAAUAACAUCCUUUGAAAUUUUUUUAUUAUAGUUAUAAUGUUCAUUUUAUUUGUUAUUAGCAUUAUUGUUUUAAUUUACAUAUUCUGAUUUUCUGAAUCCUGGAAUUAAAGGAGUGUUAAGAUUGUUAGCCUACUGACAACCUUGCAUAUUAAAAAAUCAUACUAAAGUUCGGGAGUAUGAGAAAUGCUAACAAAGGUAGAUGAGAAACUGGCUAUUAGACUCAAUAAGGAGGAACCCGGAAAAUAAUGAUCCGAACCUGGAUGUACUCCCCAAUGUCAUACAUUUCACUCCACCUAAUUUUCUUCCGGUCACAUCCACAUUCCAAAUUCCAAAUGAAUGCAAUUUUUUUUUAACCAUCAUUUUUCAUUCUAUACAUCUGUUAUUAACCUGUUCUACAGCAGAGCUCACAGAUCCAAAAGCUUACAGUGUGUAGUGGCCUUGCCCAGGACUUCUGGCUAUACUUCCCAGACAGCAGUGAGUCUGUGAUGAAGCACGGGAGGCAUUUCUACAAGGAGCAGAUACCAGGCUCCAAGCAAUGCUUGGUGGAAAUCCCUGUCUAGAGAUUCUGAAUCUUCUGAUUUUUUUUUUCCAGAAAAAUUAACAAUUCAGAGCUACACAUGAAACUAACUUUUGAGACACUGCAAAGCAACCAAAAUACAUGUUCUUGAAGAAGGAAGUCACUGGCCACUGUAAUCACAGACCUUCAAAACCACCUGAAAGGACUUCAGAGAAGAGAUCCGGAGUAAGGCACUCUGUGCUCUGGGAAAAACUGGCAGAACGGGUCUUCAGACAGUUAGAUAUUUUCCGAAUAUUUUAUGAGCCCAAUUUCUUGCCUCUUCUCAUGUAUAGAAAAGCACUAAAAUCAUUAAUGAUGAUAUCGGCUCUUUGUGACUAGCAGCAAGCCUCUGCCAAAAUGUGUGGUUG
rnacentral:lncRNA from 1 species